GGAGCCUGCAUUCUAGAGAAGACACAAGCACUGGAGGGUGAGGCGGAUUUCUGUCCUCAGGGAGCUUCAAGCUGAGCUGGAGGAAAAGGGCUGCCGUGAUCAGCAUC
rnacentral:lncRNA from 1 species